AGAGUUUGAUCAUGGCUCAGAUUGAACGCUGGCGGCAGGCCUAACACAUGCAAGUCGAGCGGUAGCACAGAGAGCUUGCUCUCGGGUGACGAGCGGCGGACGGGUGAGUAAUGUCUGGGAAACUGCCUGAUGGAGGGGGAUAACUACUGGAAACGGUAGCUAAUACCGCAUAAUGUCGCAAGACCAAAGUGGGGGACCUUCGGGCCUCAUGCCAUCAGAUGUGCCCAGAUGGGAUUAGCUAGUAGGUGGGGUAACGGCUCACCUAGGCGACGAUCCCUAGCUGGUCUGAGAGGAUGACCAGCCACACUGGAACUGAGACACGGUCCAGACUCCUACGGGAGGCAGCAGUGGGGAAUAUUGCACAAUGGGCGCAAGCCUGAUGCAGCCAUGCCGCGUGUGUGAAGAAGGCCUUCGGGUUGUAAAGCACUUUCAGCGGGGAGGAAGGCGGUAAGGUUAAUAACCUCAGCGAUUGACGUUACCCGCAGAAGAAGCACCGGCUAACUCCGUGCCAGCAGCCGCGGUAAUACGGAGGGUGCAAGCGUUAAUCGGAAUUACUGGGCGUAAAGCGCACGCAGGCGGUCUGUCAAGUCGGAUGUGAAAUCCCCGGGCUCAACCUGGGAACUGCAUUCGAAACUGGCAGGCUAGAGUCUUGUAGAGGGGGGUAGAAUUCCAGGUGUAGCGGUGAAAUGCGUAGAGAUCUGGAGGAAUACCGGUGGCGAAGGCGGCCCCCUGGACAAAGACUGACGCUCAGGUGCGAAAGCGUGGGGAGCAAACAGGAUUAGAUACCCUGGUAGUCCACGCCGUAAACGAUGUCGAUUUGGAGGUUGUGCCCUUGAGGCGUGGCUUCCGGAGCUAACGCGUUAAAUCGACCGCCUGGGGAGUACGGCCGCAAGGUUAAAACUCAAAUGAAUUGACGGGGGCCCGCACAAGCGGUGGAGCAUGUGGUUUAAUUCGAUGCAACGCGAAGAACCUUACCUGGUCUUGACAUCCACAGAACUUUCCAGAGAUGGAUUGGUGCCUUCGGGAACUGUGAGACAGGUGCUGCAUGGCUGUCGUCAGCUCGUGUUGUGAAAUGUUGGGUUAAGUCCCGCAACGAGCGCAACCCUUAUCCUUUGUUGCCAGCGGUUAGGCCGGGAACUCAAAGGAGACUGCCAGUGAUAAACUGGAGGAAGGUGGGGAUGACGUCAAGUCAUCAUGGCCCUUACGACCAGGGCUACACACGUGCUACAAUGGCAUAUACAAAGAGAAGCGACCUCGCGAGAGCAAGCGGACCUCAUAAAGUAUGUCGUAGUCCGGAUUGGAGUCUGCAACUCGACUCCAUGAAGUCGGAAUCGCUAGUAAUCGUAGAUCAGAAUGCUACGGUGAAUACGUUCCCGGGCCUUGUACACACCGCCCGUCACACCAUGGGAGUGGGUUGCAAAAGAAGUAGGUAGCUUAACCUUCGGGAGGGCGCUUACCACUUUGUGAUUCAUGACUGGGGUGAAGUCGUAACAAGGUAACCGUAGGGGAACCUGCGGUUGGAUCACCU
rnacentral:rRNA from 1 species